GACGAACGCUGGCGGCGUGCUUAACACAUGCAAGUCGAACGGAAAGGCCCUGCUUUUGUGGGGUGCUCGAGUGGCGAACGGGUGAGUAACACGUGAGUAACCUGCCCUUGACUUUGGGAUAACUUCAGGAAACUGGGGCUAAUACCGGAUAGGAGCUCCUGCUGCAUGGUGGGGGUUGGAAAGUUUCGGCGGUUGGGGAUGGACUCGCGGCUUAUCAGCUUGUUGGUGGGGUAGUGGCUUACCAAGGCUUUGACGGGUAGCCGGCCUGAGAGGGUGACCGGCCACAUUGGGACUGAGAUACGGACCAGACUCCUACGGGAGGCAGCAGUGGGGAAUAUUGCACAAUGGGCGGAAGCCUGAUGCAGCAACGCCGCGUGCGGGAUGACGGCCUUCGGGUGGUAAACCGCUUUCGCCUGUGACGAAGCGUGAGUGACGGUAAUGGGUAAAGAAGCACCGGCUAACUACGU
rnacentral:rRNA from 1 species